rnacentral:rRNA from 1 species
CCUACGGGUGGCAGCAGUGAGGAAUAUUGGUCAAUGGACGAGAGUCUGAACCAGCCAAGUAGCGUGAAGGAUGACGGCUCUAUGGGUUGUAAACUUCUUUUAUAUGGGAAUAAAAUGUUACACGUGUGGGUUUUUGUAUGUACCAUAUGAAUAAGGAUCGGCUAACUCCGUGCCAGCAGCCGCGGUAAUACGGAGGAUCCGAGCGUUAUCCGGAUUUAUUGGGUUUAAAGGGUGCGUAGGUGGGUAGUUAAGUCAGUGGUGAAAGUUUGCGGCUCAACCGUAAAAUUGCAGUUGAAACUGGCAGUCUUGAGUACAGUUGAGGUGGGCGGAAUGCGUGGUGUAGCGGUGAAAUGCUUAGAUAUCACGAAGAACUCCGAUUGCGAAGGCAGUUCACUGGACUGCAACUGACGCUGAGGCUCGAAAGUGUGGGUAUCAAACAGGAUUAGAUACCCGAGUAGUC